AUCAGUAGGAGUGUCCAUCUCUUCAAUGUGGAAGGCUUGCCCGAACACAGUUGGUUUCUUCAUUUUCCCCUUGAUGUCAAAGUGGAGAACAUGCCCUUUACCCAAAUGGAGAUCAAUCGUGCCCUCUUUCACAUUAACAAUUGCUCAUGCUGUAGCUAAGAAUGACCUUCCAAGAAUCAAUGGGUCUUGAGCCUCCUCACCCAU
rnacentral:lncRNA from 1 species